CCUAUCUCCACUGAGUCCAUUUAUAAUGACAGCAAAAAGUCAUUAGAUCCAACUGAAGCAUAUAAUCUAAAAGCCAAUCUCAAGUGUCGGCUGAGCCAGUCUCCAGUUACUAACGACCUGCAGUCUUCCGUGCGUGGCAAUGACGGUGAAAACCGAGGCUGCUAGGGGCACGCUCACUUACUCCAGAAUGAGGGGAAUGGUGGCAAUUCUCAUCGCUUUCAUGAAACAGAGGAGGAUGGGGCUGAACGACUUUAUUCAGAAGAUUGCCAAUAACUCCUAUGCAUGCAAGCACCCUGAAAUUCAGUCAAUCUUGAAAAUCUCCCAGCCUCAGGAGCCUGAGCUUAUGAAUGCCAACCCUUCUCCCCCACCAAGUCCUUCUCAGCAAAUCAACCUUGGCCCGUCAUCCAACCCUCGUGCUAAACCAUCUGACUUUCACUUCUUGAAAGUGAUUGGGAAAGGCAGUUUUGGAAAGGUUCUUCUAGCAAGACACAAGGCAGAAGAAGUGUUCUAUGCAGUCAAAGUUUUACAGAAGAAAGCAAUCCUGAAAAAGGAGGAGGAGAAGCAUAUUAUGUCAUAGCGGAAUGUUUUAUUGAAGAAUGUGAAACGCCCUUUCCUGGUGGGCCUUCACUUCUCUUUCCAGACUGCUGACAAAUUGUACUUUGUCCUAGACUACAUUAACGGUGGAGAGUUGUUCUACCAUCUCCAGAGAGAACGCUGCUUUCUGGAACCACGGGCUCGUUUCUAUGCUGCUGAAAUAGCAGUGCCUUGGGUUACCUGCACUCUCUGAACAUCGUGUAUAGAGGCUUAAAACCUGAGAAUAUUUUGCUAGAUUCCCAGGGACACACUGUCCUUACUGACUUUGGACUCUGCAAGGAAAACAUUGAGCACAAUGGCACGACAUCUACCUUCUGUGGCACACCUGAGUAUCUCGCACCUGAGGUGCUGCAUAAGCAGCCCUACGACAGGACUGUGGACUGGUGGUGCCUCGGGGCUGUCUUGUAUGAGAUGCUCUAUGGCCUGCCUCCUUUUUAUAGCCGAAACACAGCUGAGAUGUACGACAACAUUCUGAACAAGCCCCUCCAGUUGAAACCAAAUAUCACAAAUUCCGCAGGACACCUCCUGGAGGGCCUGCUGCAGAAGGACAGGACUAAGCGGCUGGGGGCCAAGGACGACUUUAUGGAGAUUAAGAGUCAUGUCUUCUUCUCCCUAAUUAACUGGGAUGAUCUCAUUAAUAAGAAGAUUUCUCCUCCUUUUAACCCAAAUGUGAGUGGACCCAGCGACCUGCGGCACUUUGAUCCCGAGUUUACCGAAGAGCAGGUCCCCAACUCCAUCGGCAGGUCCCCCGACAGCAUCCUCAUCACGGCCAGCGUCAAGGAAGCGGCCGAGGCCUUCCUAGGCUUCUCCUACGCACCUCCCAUGGACUCAUUCCUCUGAACAGUCUUGGGGUUGCUUUUGAAGGAUCUUGUGUGUGUUCAAUGUUUUAGUUAGCCUUUUGGCGGAGCUGCCAGCUGACAGGACAUCUUAAAAGAGAAUUUGCACAUCUCUGGAAGCUUAGCAAUCUGAUUGCACACUGUUUGCUGGAAGCCUUUCGAAGAGCACAUCCUCCUCUCAGUGAGCUCACGAGGUUUUCGUUUCUAUUCUUACUUCCAAGGUGGGGCUAUCUCUGAAACGAGCGUUAGAGCGCCGCCGUACACAGAUGCAGGAGUCUCGUUAGAAGGAAGGCGCUGUUCUAAGAGUGGUCUCCUGCCAGUCUGUCCAGGCUGUGAUAACGAAUAUUAUGACAUGUGCCUUUUCUGAAGAGCUCAUGUUAGCUCCAAAGCUUUUCCUAUUGCAGUGUUUUCAGUUCUUUAUUUUUCCAUGUGGACUUACUGUGUGAACAGUGGAAUGAGUGUGGUGUGCGUGAUCACAGAUGGAUUUUGUUAUGAGCAUCAAUGUGACACUUGCAGGACACUACAACGUGGGACAUUGUUUCUUCCAUAUUUGGAAGAUAAAUUUAUGUGUAGACUGGUUUUUUUUUGUAAGAUAUAGUGAAUAACUAAAAUUUAUUGAAAUGGUCUUGCAAUGACUUGUAUUCAGAUGCUUAAAGAAAGCAUUGCUGCUACAAAUAUUUCUAUUUUUAGAAAGGGUUUUUAUGGACCAAUGCCCCAGUUGUCAGUCAGAGCUGUUGGUGUUUUCAUUGUUUAAAAUGUCACCUGUAAAAUGGGCAUUAUUUAUGUUUUUUUUUUUUGCAUUCCUGAUAAUUGUAUGUAUUGUAUAAAGAAAGUCUGUACAUUGGGUUAUAACACUAGUAUAUUUAAACUUAUAGGCUUAUUUGUAAUGUAAACCACCAUUUUACUGUACUGUAAUUAACAUGGUUAUAAUAUGUACAAUCCUUCCCUCCUGCCACACAACUUUUUUUGUGUGUGAUAAACCAAUUUUGGUUUGCAAUAAAACCUUGAAAAAUAUUUACA